AUUCCUUCUCAGCCUUUUGGCUAAGAUCAGGUGAACUAUCAGUUCUUAUCAAGUAACUAUCUAAUUACUAGAGGCCCGAUGCACAAAAUUUGUGCAUGGGGAGUGGUGGUGUCCCUCAGCCCAGCCUGCACCCUCUCCAAUCUGGGACCUGUCAAGGGUAUGUCUGACUGCCUGUUUAGGCCCAAUCAAG